GGCUCCUGAUGCAAUUUCAUCUUCUGAUCCUUCACCUGGAGGCCAGAGGUUACAGGAUACCAAAGGAAGAUUGUGACUGAAAAAGAAAAAGAAGGACCAUCAUAAAGAGAAGAUAAAUGACUGGUGCAUUAUUUUGGAGAACAAGGCUGUGGCUAUCAAUGGAUCCCCAAAGUAAUGUUACCACAAAAUGGGAAGAAACACCAGUCUCCAGGAAAAAGGCCUGACUCAGUAAGGUUUCGUUUUGUGGAUAUGGAGAGAAGCACCUAGAAACGAGAACAACUACUGUAAUGCAUAUUGAACAGUCUGUGUCAGUCACUUGACUUUGGAUGAGGGGCAAAUCUCAGUUGACAAACUCAGCUCAAAAAUAAGUAUCGUAUACAGCUUUGCAGUUCCCCGUGACAUAAGAACUAAAAGACGCUAGUUUAUGGAGAGAGUGAGUGAAUGAAUGAGUGAGGGGAUGGAUGGAUGGAUAGAUAAGUUCAUGGAUGAAAUUUGAGUCCUGAAUAUCUAGAGAAUCGCUGUGGAACAGGCUCAGUUAAGUCAGAAGUGGUAUGUUCCAAAUUAAAUGAGUCUUUUCCAGCCUCAGCUUUUCAUAACCACUUCCUGGGGAUGCAGCGCCUUCUGGUGGAAAUCCAGAUGUGCUGCCUCCUCCCUAGACGGUCCUAACCAACGGGCCCUUUGAUGACUCCAUCCCAGAUGGCCAUCUCCUCACUGUGAACACCUCAAUGACAUUGAUGAGGCUCAGUAAAUUCCAGCAAGUCCCUUCUAGUAGUAACCCAAGUACCCACAAGAUGAACAAUGAAGGGUUCCAUUAGAACUUUAGGUUAGAGCAGCACUUCUCAAACUUUUCUGGGCAGAUGAAUUACCUGGAGAGGAUCUUGUUAAAAUGAAGAUUUUCACUGGGCUAUUCUGAGUUGUGGAUCAAGAUUCUGAAUUUUCAAUUCCGGUCCAGUGGCAGCCAACUGCUACUGCAUCUGCUCAACAUUGCACCCCUGUGGGGGCUGGCAGCUGCCAGAUACAUGAAGUAUAACUGGGAAGUAUAACUGGGAAGCCCCGGGGGUCUGGGGGCGGGGGUGAUGGUUUAAGCAGACAGUCUGAAACUUAUAAAUUACUGUUGUCCCCUUCAGGGUUUGCUCUUUGAAG